rnacentral:rRNA from 1 species
GUUUGUAAAAGGGACAAGAAUAAGAAACGAUGAUCUCAUCUAAUCUCGGAAGCUAAGCAGGGUCGAGCCUGGUUAGUACUUGGAUGGGAGACCACCUUGGAAUACCAGAUGCUGUAGGCA